rnacentral:rRNA from 1 species
GACGAACGCUGGCGGCAUGCCUUACACAUGCAAGCCGAACGGUAACAGGUCUUUGGAUGCUGACGAGUGGCGAACGGGUGAGUAAUACAUCGGAACGUGCCUAGUAGUGGGGGAUAACUACUCGAAAGAGUGGCUAAUACCGCAUGAGAUCUACGGAUGAAAGCAGGGGAUCGCAAGACCUUGUGCUACUAGAGCGGCCGAUGGCAGAUGAGGUAGUUGGUGGGAUAAAAGCUUACCAAGCCGACGAUCUGUAGCUGGUCUGAGAGGACGAUCAGCCACACUGGGACUGAGACACGGCCCAGACUCCUACGGGAGGCAGCAGUGGGGAAUUUUGGACAAUGGGCGCAAGCCUGAUCCAGCAAUGCCGCGUGCAGGAUGAAGGCCUUCGGGUUGUAAACUGCUUUUGUACGGAACGAAAAGCCCUGGGUUAAUACCCUGGGGUCAUGACGGUACCGUAAGAAUAAGCACCGGCUAACUACGUGCCAGCCGCCGCAGUAAGAC